GGCACGAUGCGUUGCUAAAGAAAUUGACAUGAAAUUGACAACGUCGUCAUAGGUAAAAUAGCGAUAAACAGAUUAUCAUUGGUCAUCUCUACUCGAUUGCUUUUUCUCGCUUUCGCCAUACCCGGCUCAAGCUAGAAAAUCAAUCUCGUUGAGAUGAUCAACGAUAAUCUAGAAGUAUCUCAAAGUUAUCAUUUAAGUCAUCACAC
rnacentral:lncRNA from 1 species